UACAGAGGGGGCAAGCGUUGUUCGGAAUUACUGGGCGUAAAGGGCGCGUAGGCGGCCCGCUAAGUCGAACGUGAAAUCCCCAGGCUUAACCUGGGAACUGCGUCCGAUACUGGCAGGCUUGAAUCCGGGAGAGGGAUGUGGAAUUCCAGGUGUAGCGGCGAAAUGCGUAGAUAUCUGGAGGAACACCGGUGGCGAAGGCGGCAUCCUGGACCGGCAUUGACGCUGAGGCGCGAAAGCGUGGGGAGCAAACAGG
rnacentral:rRNA from 1 species